rnacentral:lncRNA from 1 species
GCCUGCUUUCCUUGCUCCCUCAAGCCAUUUUCGAGCUUGAGACUGCUCUGCUCAUCCCAGAGGCCUCAGUUAUGUAUCAUGGAAUGAGCACCUCAUCUCUGUGAACAGUCGCCCCUAACUCUUCCUUCCCGACAAAAGAAUUCUGUCCUGACGGCACCCACUGUCUCUCCAUCUCCACCCGCCCUGUCCCCCCACUGCAGCUCUGCCUGGCUGCCUCUUUGCCAACUCCCGCAAAGAGUCUACUUCACGUUAGAUAAGGAUUCGAGGAGUCAUGUAUUGUUUUUAAAAGGAAGGAGGAGAGCAGACGCAGUCCUAAAACUGCAGGAGGAAAAGGAGGUGAUUCUGUGUCACGUUUGUUUUCAAGAGGGAUGCAGAUGAAAAGAGAAGCACAGGCGAAGCUGCCCAGCGUGCUGAGAUGAAGGAAAGCAUGGCCUUUGCCAAGCGGUGCCAUGUCCGCACCCGGGAUCCGAAACCACGAACCCCAGGCUGCCAAGAAGCGGAACAUGGGAACUUAACCUCUGUGCCACCGGGCCGGCCCCAGCGUUCCUGUGCCUUUUUCGGGGACAGUCUUUCAUGUAAUCAAUUCUUCUAUCAGCUGCCACCUUCAUUCCAGUGCACUUUCAAGCCCUUUCCUGGUACUACCAAGUCACACUGUCUUCAUUUGACAUUUGGUCCUGGAUGUCUUUCUGGAGUUUGGGAGGUUUUACCAGUAUACCUGAACGGACCAUCUUCCAGAGUCGAUUAAAUCAUACAAUAUUGCCUGAGAAAUGCAUCUCAUGAGCUGCUUAUGCCCAGUUCUAUAGAUCAGAAGUUGAACAUGGGUCUCGCUGGACUAAAACCAAGGUACUGACACACCCCCGUUCCAUUCUGGAGGCUCUGGGGAGAAUCAUGGUAAGCUCCAGCUUUUCAAGGCUGGCCAUAUUCCUAAACUUGUGGCCCCUUACUUUAAAGUCAUCAAUGGAGCAUCUUUAUGACUAUUCUUCUAUAGUCACAUGUCCCUCAAUUACAGCCAGGGACAUUCCUUUCCUUUUAACGACCCAUGUAAUUAAACUGUGCCCAACUAGAUAAUACAGGAUAAUUACCCGAUCCCAAGAUCCCUCCCCUUCAACCCAUCUGCUAUGUAAGACAAAACAGUCACAGGUCCCUGGGAUUAGGGAAUAGCUAUCUUUAGAAGGCUCUUAUUUUACUUUAGAAGGCUCUUAUUUUACCUCCUAUCAUUAGAUUUACUCACAGUAUAUCAAUUGAUGAAAAAUCAACUAACAAUAGAGAACUCGUUAAAAAAAAUGACAAAAUAUUUUUAGGGGCUGGCCUGGUGGUGCAGCGGUUGAGUUUGCACAUUCCACUUCUGUGGCCCAGGGUUCGCCGGUUCACAUCCCGGGUGCAGACAUGGCAGCACUUCUCAAGCCAUGCUUUGGCAGGUGUCCCACCGAAAUGUUUGAGUGACGUGAAGACAACAGGCAGCACAGGGGGCUUUAAAACAAGGAUAGCUCGUCAUCAUCUGACACC